AACGAACACUGGCGGCGUGCCUAAUACAUACAAGUCGAGCGGACAGAAGGGAGCUUGCUCCCGGAUGUUAGCGGCGGACGGGUGAGUAACACGUGGGUAACCUGCCUGUAAGACUGGGAUAACUCCGGGAAACCGGAGCUAAUACCGGAUAGUUCCUUGAACCGCAUGGUUCAAGGAUGAAAAACGGUUUCGGCUGUCACUUACAGAUGGACCCGCGGCGCAUUAGCUAGUUGAUGGGGUAAUGGCUCACCAAGGCGACGAUGCGUAGCCGACCUGAGAGGGUGAUCGGCCACACUGGGACUGAGACACGGCCCAGACUCCUACGGGAGACAACAGUAGGGAAUCUUCCGCAAUGGACGAAAGUCUGACGGAGCAACGCCGCGUGAGUGAUGAAGGUUUUCGGAUCGUAAAGCUAUGUUGUUAGGGAAGAACAAAUGCGAGAGUAACUGCUCGCACCUUGACGGUACCUAACCAGAAAGUCACGGCUAACUUCGUGCCAGCCGCCGCGGUAA
rnacentral:rRNA from 1 species